rnacentral:rRNA from 1 species
GAGUAACACGUGGGUGAUCUGCCCUGCACUUCGGGAUAAGCCUGGGAAACUGGGUCUAAUACCGGAUAGGACCACGGGAUGCAUGUCUUGUGGUGGAAAGCGCUUUAGCGGUGUGGGAUGAGCCCGCGGCCUAUCAGCUUGUUGGUGGGGUGACGGCCUACCAAGGCGACGACGGGUAGCCGGCCUGAGAGGGUGUCCGGCCACACUGGGACUGAGAUACGGCCCAGACUCCUACGGGAGGCAGCAGUGGGGAAUAUUGCACAAUGGGCGCAAGCCUGAUGCAGCGACGCCGCGUGGGGGAUGACGGCCUUCGGGUUGUAAACCUCUUUCACCAUCGACGAAGGUCCGGGUUCUCUCGGAUUGACGGUAGGUGGAGAAGAAGCACCGGCCAACUACGUGCCAGCAGCCGCGGUAAUACGUAGGGUGCGAGCGUUGUCCGGAAUUACUGGGCGUAAAGAGCUCGUAGGUGGUUUGUCGCGUUGUUCGUGAAAUCUCACGGCUUAACUGUGAGCGUGCGGGCGAUACGGGCAGACUAGAGUACUGCAGGGGAGACUGGAAUUCCUGGUGUAGCGGUGGAAUGCGCAGAUAUCAGGAGGAACACCGGUGGCGAAGGCGGGUCUCUGGGCAGUAACUGACGCUGAGGAGCGAAAGCGUGGGGAGCGAACAGGAUUAGAUACCCUGGUAGUCCACGCCGUAAACGGUGGGUACUAGGUGUGGGUUUCCUUCCUUGGGAUCCGUGCCGUAGCUAACGCAUUAAGUACCCCGCCUGGGGAGUACGGCCGCAAGGCUAAAACUCAAAGGAAUUGACGGGGGCCCGCACAAGCGGCGGAGCAUGUGGAUUAAUU